GCCCUUAGAGUUUGAUCCUGGCUCAGGAUGAACGCUGGCGGCGUGCCUAAUACAUGCAAGUCGAACGAAUCUCUUCGGAGAUGAGUGGCGAACGGGUGAGUAAUACAUAGGUAACCUGCCCCUGUGCGGGGGAUAACAGGAGGAAACUCCUGCUAAUACCGCAUAGCCAUGAGCACCGCAUGGAGCUCAUGCCAAAUAUCCUUUCGGGGAUAGCGCAGGGAUGGACCUAUGGCGCAUUAGCUUGUUGGCGGGGCAACGGCCCACCAAGGCAACGAUGCGUAGCCGGCCUGAGAGGGCGGACGGCCACAUUGGGACUGAGACACGGCCCAGACUCCUACGGGAGGCAGCAGUAGGGAAUUUUCGGCAAUGGGGGAAACCCUGACCGAGCAACGCCGCGUGAGCGAAGAAGGCCUUCGGGUCGUAAAGCUCUGUUGUAAAGGAAGAACGGCGCAUACAGGAAAUGGUAUGCGAGUGACGGUACUUUACCAGAAAGCCACGGCUAACUACGUGCCAGCAGCCGCGGUAAUACGUAGGUGGCGAGCGUUAUCCGGAAUCAUUGGGCGUAAAGAGGGAGCAGGCGGCCGCAAGGGUCUGUGGUGAAAGACCGAAGCUAAACUUCGGUAAGCCAUGGAAACCGGGCGGCUAGAGUGCGGAAGAGGAUCGUGGAAUUCCAUGUGUAGCGGUGAAAUGCGUAGAUAUAUGGAGGAACACCAGUGGCGAAGGCGACGGUCUGGGCCGCAACUGACGCUCAUUCCCGAAAGCGUGGGGAGCAAAUAGGAUUAGAUACCCUAGUAGUCCACGCCGUAAACGAUGGUCACUAAGUGUCGGGGGUCAAACCCCGGUGCUGCAGUCAACGCAAUAAGUGACCCGCCUGAGUAGUACGUUCGCAAGAAUGAAACU
rnacentral:rRNA from 1 species